rnacentral:lncRNA from 11 species
ACUAGAGAUAGAUCCAGGAGUUUUCCAAUCCACACAAUCACUUGCCAUCCUGGUUGAAAGGGAUUCUAGGAGCUUUAGUCCAAAGAAGUAGCCUUUGUUGCUCUGCUUCAUUACCAAUAAGCAAUUGAAUAUUGUUAAGAACCAUGUCCAGUAUGGUCUAUGACAGUUAUCUGUGCCUCGUGAGCUUCCCAGAGACAUCUAGUUGGACUACUAGACUUUUUUGUUCUGAUUCAGUAGCCCAUUGAUUCCAUUUUUCAUUAACAGCUGGUUCUUCCUCCACAUCAGUUGGGCAAUGAAUCUGCCCUGGGUUUUUGUACAAAUUUUCAAAUCACUAUUUAGGGCAUUGAACCUAUUUUGGGUUCACUCUUUAAAAACUCAGACUUGGCAUAGAUUGAGUUCCUCCCUGAUCAGUCACCGAGAAGAGAAGAAGAAGACAGCAGAGGAGCAGAAGCAGGAAAAGAAGAAGCUGUCCAGCCUUUCUGAUUACAAAACCAUACUUUUAAGUUUCCAAGCCUGAGGAAAUCUCAUGUACCAGGAGAUUUACUGAAUAAACUCUCUGCUUGAUGGGGAUGGGAAUUCGAUGCUUUUUUGUAGUUUCCUUCCCACUGGUAUUUCUAGCAGAGUAAGAAUCGCAUCUAUCAGAAAUUGAAAACUGCAGAAGACAUUGUGCAAAUAUCAAAGAAACAGCUGAAUUUACCUUGCCAGGCAGAUUUUAUAGUG